ACUCCUACGGGAGGCAGCAGUGGGGAAUAUUGCGCAAUGGGGGAAACCCUGACGCAGCAACGCCGCGUGAAUGAAGAAGGCCUUAGGGUUGUAAAGUUCUGUUUUCUGGGACGAUAAUGACGGUACCAGAGGAGGAAGCCACGGCUAACUACGUGCCAGCAGCCGCGGUAAUACGUAGGUGGCAAGCGUUGUCCGGAUUUACUGGGCGUAAAGGAUGCGUAGGCGGAUGUUUAAGUGAGAUGUGAAAUACCCGAGCUCAACUUGGGUGCUGCAUUUCAAACUGGAUAUCUAGAGUGCAGGAGAGGAAAGCGGAAUUCCUAGUGUAGCGGUGAAAUGCGUAGAGAUUAGGAAGAACACCAGUGGCGAAGGCGGCUUUCUGGACUGUAACUGACGCUGAGGCAUGAAAGCGUGGGGAGCAAACAGGAUUAGAUACCCUGGUAGGCGUAG
rnacentral:rRNA from 1 species